rnacentral:rRNA from 1 species
UACCAGCUCUCCGAGUGGUAGGGAUGAUUAUUGGGCUUAAAGCGUCCGUAGCCGGCUUAGCAAGUUUCCUGUUAAACCCAGCGACUCAAUCGUUGGAUCGCGGGAAAUACUACUAGGCUAGGAGGCGGGAGAGGUCAACGGUACUUCUGGGGUAGGGGUGAAAUCCUAUAAUCCCGGGAGGACCACCAGUGGCGAAGGCUGUUGACUAGAACGCGCUCGACGGUGAGGGACGAAAGCUGGGGUAGCAAGCCGGAUUAGAUACCCGGGUAGUCCCAGCUGUAAACGAUGCGAGCUAGGUGUUGGGAUGGCUACGGGCCAUUUCAGUGCCGCAGGGAAGCCAUUAAGCUCGCCGCCUGGGGAGUACGGCCGCAAGGCUGAAACUUAAAGGAAUUGGGCGGGGGAGCACCACAAGGCGUGAAGCUUGCGGUUC